UCGCGGUAAUGAUCAUUGCAUCCGGAGGAUGAGCUAAAACGGAGAACGAAAUAGAGAAGAGCGGAACGGACGAGUCAUCGACGAAUUUUCCUAGGUAUGCAGCCAGCAGGGAGGAUGCAACGGUCGAUGACGUGAAUCGACCGACUUUUCGGUCGAUAACUGCCCGCCACGAUUGGCAGCCUCUGAAUGGCUGGCCAACCGUCCCGUUCUCACUUCUGUCGGUGGACUGUUGUGCCCCGGUACCGGAUAACCGGCCUAUAAGUGCGUUUCCUCCGAACGAAUAAUCCUUUAUUCCGUUCGUGAUAUCCCAUUUCUCUGUAUUACCAAAUGCUGUUCGUGUACGGUUGAAGUGAUCCCCUUGACCGUCUCCGAGUUUCUUCGAGCCGCUCCCCGCUCCGCGCGAUCGUUGGAACGAGCAGUCCCCCCCACCACCGCGCCACGAGUUUCGAGAGGAGUGGGGGAAGAGGCGAGCAGAAAGGCGGGAAGAAGAACAGGGAAGAAGCGGCCUAUUCUCUGUUUGGAAUAACAGUUUGUCGAAGGUCGUUGGCGAGCAUCUUCCGUCGCGUAAUCGAAAAGUUGGAAAUAAAAGAGAGAGGAACGAAGAGAGAAGGAGUUUGUCGGAAGGUUCUUCUUUUUCUUUUUUCCUUCUCCUCCUCUCCCUUUCCCCUCACCCGUGGAAGACAAGUGGCCACUUUCUCUCUAUCCUCUCCUCAGGGGUCGGCGGAUGAAGGCAAAGUGGACGGCGAGCAACGCGGAACACCGGCUCUUUCGCUACGCGCCUCGCCCUUGAUUCAGAAGGACGGCCACGUGCACGACGACGGCGCGAGAUAAUCGGUAUCACGGGGAAUCACGUUCAUUUCCCCACCAACUACGGCCACAUGACUUGACGAUCGCCCCACCUACCGCUGUUCGUCGUUGAGCGAAAGCGGCGACAGUGGCAGCAACGUGACCGACGUGGGGAGGGCGAGCGCAUCACGACGACCACGACGACGAUCGGCGACACCAACAACGGCGACGACGACGACGACGACGACGACGACGACGACGACGGCGACGACGACGAGGAAGAAGGAAGAAGAACGGCGGAGGAGUAAGUCAUCGGUUACUACUCGCAAGGCUACUUAACGAGUGACAUAGGCCGUUGGUGGUUCAGUUAGCCGCGGACGGUCAACCCAGGUGCGAGAGUCGUUCGCGCUCUUUUAUCCUUUUUUCUUUUUCGUUAUCUCCCCCCUCCCUCUUCCGUUCUUUCUUUUCUCCCCCUUAUUCCACCUCUAUUUCGCCUUUUUUCUCGAACGACUUUUCGGGUGGGUAGAAAAAGAUUCGCCAAGAUUGGAUAGAUAGAUAGUUAGAUAGUUAGAUAGAUAGAUAGGUAGAUAAGUGUUGAUCGUGGUGACUGUGCUGGUGCCGUUGUUUGUUGUCGUUGUUCUUCGGCUCGGGAAGUAGCGGUUUUCAGUGUGGAUAGUGCGGAUAACAGUGACGAGUGUGAAACUGGAGCCGCAAGCGGUAGAAGCAGUUGCAGUCGAGAGCUAUCAUGUGCCCGCGGAGGAUCUUCGGACUGGCCAUCGUCGCGCUGGUGACUUUUGGUGGACGAGCGGCAGCCUAUACGAAUCAGUGGGCAGUGCAUAUCGAGGGGGGACCGGAUGUGGCCCAGCAGGUCGCGCGAGAGCAUGGAUUUCAAUAUCUCGAUAAGAUAGUGGACGAUUGGUACCACAUGGUGCACACGUCAGUCGUGAAGAGAUCAGCGGAACCGCAUUUCGGGGUGCAGGGGAGGCUAAUAGAGGACCGCAGAGUGCGUCGAGCUGAGCAACAACGGGUAAAAUCGAGAACGAAACGGGAUCUAAUUAUUAAACGCGGUCCGUCCAACCUGAGAACAGUUCUCAACGACGAGAUGUGGCCUCAGAUGUGGUACUUGAACAGGGGAAAGGGGUUAGAUAUGAACGUGCAGGAAGCUUGGGCUGAAGGAAUUACGGGACGCGGAGUCGUGGUCACGAUUCUUGAUGACGGAUUGGAGAAGAAUCAUCCGGAUCUUUAUAAGAACUACGACCCACAAGCCAGCUACGAUGUCAAUAACCAUGAUGAAGAUCCCAUGCCACGAUACGAUGUUCUAGACAGUAAUCGACAUGGCACCAGAUGCGCUGGUGAAGUGGCUGCAACUGCUAACAAUUCCUUGUGCGCGGUAGGAGUUGCAUUUGGAGCUGGCGUCGGGGGAGUGAGAAUGUUGGACGGGGACGUGACGGAUGCCGUGGAAGCAAGGUCUCUGAGCCUGAAUCCUCAACACAUCGAUAUUUAUAGUGCCUCAUGGGGACCUGACGACGAUGGAAAAACCGUCGAUGGUCCUGGCGAACUUGCCACUAGAGCUUUCAUCGAGGGGAUCACAAAGGGUCGCAACGGUAGAGGGUCGAUUUUCGUCUGGGCGUCGGGGAACGGCGGCAGGGAUCACGACAACUGCAACUGCGACGGUUACACGAACAGCAUCUGGACGUUGUCCAUCAGCAGCGCGACGGAGAACGGCCAGGUGCCUUGGUACAGCGAGGCGUGCUCGUCCACCCUGGCUACGACCUACAGUUCCGGUUCAUCGGGGGAGAAACAAGUGGUGACCACUGACCUGCAUCACCUUUGCACGACCAGCCACACGGGCACGUCUGCAUCGGCGCCCUUGGCAGCCGGUAUAUGCGCCCUCGCCCUCGAGGCCAACAGAGAUCUGACUUGGAGGGAUAUGCAACACAUCGUCGUGAGGACAGCGAAACCUGCCAAUCUGAAAGCUAUGGAUUGGGUGACCAAUGGUGUUGGACGAAACGUGAGCCACAGUUUUGGUUAUGGCUUAAUGGAUGCAGCUGCCAUGGUGCGGUUGGCCAAAAGAUGGCGAACAGUACCGGAACAACACAAAUGCGAGGUGUCAGCACCACACAUGGGCAGGCCAAUACCACCAAAGAGCCAGCUAACUCUGGAAUUGCACGUCAAGGAGUGUAGCGGCGUUAAUUUUCUCGAGCACGUGCAAGCAAAGGUUUCAUUGAUGGCGUCGAGAAGAGGGGAUCUUCAGAUACAACUAACAUCUCCACAAGGUACAAAGAGUACCCUUCUUGCAAAAAGGUCACACGACGUCUCGAAGGCUGGUUUCAAUCAAUGGCCAUUUAUGUCGGUUCACACUUGGGGAGAAAGGCCACACGGCACGUGGAAACUUGAAAUCCACAAUGAGGGUCGAUACCAAGGUCGCGCCACGCUUCACGAAUGGGCGUUGAUAUUUUACGGGACGUCGACGCUUCCCGAUCGCACGGAAUACGCGUUGUACAAUCCCGCCGGGAUGAACAUACCGAGAAGGCCAUUCGUCAAACCGCGCGAGACAGUGUUCUCCAAGGCUCAGAACUCUCUCACGAGCUCGAAGAUCAAGCAGAGCCAGCACAAGUCGGAGAAGCCGGGUAGUCUCAGCCCGCCUUACGUGGUGAACGCCCAGAUACAGUCGCAGAGGAAGAGCAAGGCGCGCGGCCAGCACAAAAAUGGCAAAUCGGCCAAUAAACCGACCCCGAAGCCGACCGUGCAGACGUUGAGGGGGUUGACCGUGGCGAGGGGGCCUAACGUCGCGGGGGAGGUACGCCUGAUCACGUCCAGGCCACGAGGGAGGAGCACACCAAGCCCUGUCACGACCACUGUCGCGCACCAAACCAGUCCGCCCACCGCUGUUCCAACCACAAAAGUGGCCAGCAGGCAAAGAAUCGUGGACGUGGCGACUGCCUCGUCCCUUCAGAGGGGUUUGAUCCUCUUGGAGCCACCAGCGAAACCUGCCAUCAACAACGUGCCAGCCAUUUUCCAACAGUAUCCCAAGAUUCAACAGCUCUAUCCAUUGUAUCCUGUCUAUCCCGGGGUUAGAGGAGCCGGCCAGCAACACGCGACCAGGGCCAAGGGGUUGGAAUUGCUGCAGGAUGAACAGUUCGAUUCGAAGAACUUGGAUAAGGACACCCUCGACGAGUUCAAGCUAGUGUUCUACGGCACGGAAACGUCGUUGGAAUUCGACGACGAGUUGGACAAGGACAAACCGUUGCCACCGGUGAACCAGCAGGACGUGAGCCAGGACAAUACGGCGAUAGGCGCGAGGCACAACGUGAUGGACACGGAGGGUGGUCCGUGGACAGGUAGCCAACAGGUGGAGCGCGUGUCCCAUCCGGAAGUGCAGAGGCCCACGACCGAGAACCAGACGAGCGGUUGCAGCGGCAUCGACACUGGAAAUGGCAGGUGCCUAGAGUGUAAGCCGAGCUGGUACUACCACGACGGAAUCUGCGUGCACAAGUGCCCUAGAGGAACUUACGGCGUUUCUGACGAGUCAAAGGCGGUUUGCUCCGGCUGCCAUUACUCCUGCCUAACUUGUUCAGGACCUUCGAACACCGAGUGCACCAGUUGCCACGAGGACGCCGAGUUUUCGUCGAGCCUCGACGAGUCCGUCUGCAUCCUACGCGACCUCACCUGGACCAUGCACUCCACCUUCUGGUUCUACCGGAUGACCAUUCUGUUCUCGACCAGCGUCCUUUUGUUCAUCGUGAUAAUCAUGUACGUGGGUGUCAAGUGGUAUCUAAAGAACAGAAAUUCGUACAGAUACAGCAAGGUGUACUCCUCGAGCAAUGGGGACGCGCGCAAGGACAAUUUGCAAAAUGGUUACAUCUCUGAUAGUGAAUAAAGAAAAUGAACAUUGAGAAGAGAGAAUAAUAUUGAACGAGUCAGAGAUAUUUCAAGAUUAUGGAUAAGAAUAUUUCGAUGGCAUGUGAUGUUUCGUUUAUGGUGUAAUUGAAUAGUUAUAAUUGUGAAGUUGAUAAGAGUUUGUAAGGAUGAUUCGAUUCGAGGAGAAAGGAGGAUUCCGUCCUUCCAGUUUGCCACGUUCCAAUUCACGUAUGUCAAGUAAAGAGUUGUUAAUGAUCUCCCAGUGAAUAUCGAGAGUGCAUUUACGUUGUGAUUUCACGAGGUUAUACGCAAAGUAUUUAAAGAAAAUUGUGGGAUUUUAAGAGCUUUUAGUACUCGUAGUAUGUUUAAGUUUUGAAAUCAAUUCGAUUCGAUUUUUUUGUUUCUUUUUUAUUAACGAGUACUAUAAGUUUUUAAAUUUUGAUACUCUUAUUUUUCUGACAUCCCGUCUUACCACGAAUGAAAUGAAGUAGAAUAGACUUAUUAUUAUUAGAAAUAAUCACACACAAUUUUAUAAUUUAUAUGUUAUCGAACUUGAUAUUUAAUCAAAUUAAAUCAUUCCACGUGCGUGUACGUAAGAUUUUCUUGGAAUUUUCUUUGGAAAUUCCAAGAUUCAUAAUUUAAGUUCGCCGUUACUUUUAAAUUGUGAAAAUUUGCAAAGAUUUACGAGAAUUUUAAAUACGUAAUAGAUAGUUCUUAAUACGUAAAUAGAGUAUAAGUUUAGAAUUUAAAAAUUGUAAAAAUUUACACAACAGGUUUUCUUAAUUUAAAUUAAAGCUUAAAGCUCGACGUUCGGAAUUGUCGGAAAUUUUAAUCGAGACACGGAUUGAGUUUAUCGAGUUUCGAUUUUCAGUUGAAUUAACAUUUAAUAAUUAAGUGUGCGUAGCCAUUAUUCGAUCAUCGUUAAGGGGAUAAACUAAAUUACACACAGCGUCUAGUGUAUCUUGUGCUCGUCGAUAAUCAAAAUUAAAAUUGCAUUAUAUUCUGCAACUAACUGUAACACAAUUUGCUGUCCGAGUUCCUAGACCGCACUAGAGCACAUUGUAAUUAAUUGAUACACCGGUCAAAUUGCUAUGUGAUACUAUUUAUAUAAAUUGCAUUAAACAUACGAGACGCAAAUAAAGUAUAAUAGCAUUUCCUAACGACCAAAGACUGUUGCACAACUGCUCAGUUAAGAGUGAAUCCUAGAUAUAUAAAAUCAAAAGUGAAUAUUAAAAUUAAU
rnacentral:lncRNA from 1 species